UGGAAGUCCUGCCGUCUAAUCCUG
rnacentral:piRNA from 1 species